rnacentral:rRNA from 1 species
AGAGUUUGAUCCUGGCUCAGGACGAACGCUGGCGGCGCGCCUAACACAUGCAAGUCGAACGGAGCAUUGAGAGCUUGCUUUUAAUGCUUAGUGGCGAACGGGUGAGUAACGCGUGAGUAACCUGCCCUGGAGUGGGGGACAACAGUUGGAAACGACUGCUAAUACCGCAUAAGCCCACGAUCCGGCAUCGGAUUGAGGGAAAAGGAUUUAUUCGCUUCAGGAUGGACUCGCGUCCAAUUAGCUAGUUGGUGAGGUAACGGCCCACCAAGGCGACGAUUGGUAGCCGGACUGAGAGGUUGAACGGCCACAUUGGGACUGAGACACGGCCCAGACUCCUACGGGAGGCAGCAGUGGGGGAUAUUGCACAAUGGGGGAAACCCUGAUGCAGCGACGCCGCGUGGAGGAAGAAGGUUUUCGGAUUGUAAACUCCUGUCGUUAGGGACGAUAAUGACGGUACCUAACAAGAAAGCACCGGCUAACUACGUGCCAGCAGCCGCGGUAAAACGUAGGGUGCAAGCGUUGUCCGGAAUUACUGGGUGUAAAGGGAGCGCAGGCGGACCGGCAAGUUGGAAGUGAAAACUAUGGGCUCAACCCAUAAAUUGCUUUCAAAACUGCUGGCCUUGAGUAGUGCAGAGGUAGGUGGAAUUCCCGGUGUAGCGGUGGAAUGCGUAGAUAUCGGGAGGAACACCAGUGGCGAAGGCGACCUACUGGGCACCAACUGACGCUGAGGCUCGAAAGCAUGGGUAGCAAACAGGAUUAGAUACCCUGGUAGUCCAUGCCGUAAACGAUGAUUACUAGGUGUUGGAGGAUUGACCCCUUCAGUGCCGCAGUUAACACAAUAAGUAAUCCACCUGGGGAGUACGACCGCAAGGUUGAAACUCAAAGGAAUUGACGGGGGCCCGCACAAGCAGUGGA